GAUGAACGCUGGCGGCGUGCCUAAUACAUGCAAGUCGAGCGAACGGACGAGAAGCUUGCUUCUCUGAUGUUAGCGGCGGACGGGUGAGUAACACGUGGAUAACCUACCUAUAAGACUGGGAUAACUUCGGGAAACCGGAGCUAAUACCGGAUAAUAUUUUGAACCGCAUGGUUCAAAAGUGAAAGACGGUCUUGCUGUCACUUAUAGAUGGAUCCGCGCUGCAUUAGCUAGUUGGUAAGGUAACGGCUUACCAAGGCAACGAUGCAUAGCCGACCUGAGAGGGUGAUCGGCCACACUGGAACUGAGACACGGUCCAGACUCCUACGGGAGGCAGCAGUAGGGAAUCUUCCGCAAUGGGCGAAAGCCUGACGGAGCAACGCCGCGUGAGUGAUGAAGGUCUUCGGAUCGUAAAACUCUGUUAUUAGGGAAGAACAUAUGUGUAAGUAACUGUGCACAUCUUGACGGUACCUAAUCAGAAAGCCACGGCUAACUACGUGCCAGCAGCCGCGGUAAUACGUAGGUGGCAAGCGUUAUCCGGAAUUAUUGGGCGUAAAGCGCGCGUAGGCGGUUUUUUAAGUCUGAUGUGAAAGCCCACGGCUCAACCGUGGAGGGUCAUUGGAAACUGGAAAACUUGAGUGCAGAAGAGGAAAGUGGAAUUCCAUGUGUAGCGGUGAAAUGCGCAGAGAUAUGGAGGAACACCAGUGGCGAAGGCGACUUUCUGGUCUGUAACUGACGCUGAUGUGCGAAAGCGUGGGGAUCAAACAGGAUUAGAUACCCUGGUAGUCCACGCCGUAAACGAUGAGUGCUAAGUGUUAGGGGGUUUCCGCCCCUUAGUGCUGCAGCUAACGCAUUAAGCACUCCGCCUGGGGAGUACGACCGCAAGGCUGAAACUCAAAGGAAUUGACGGGGACCCGCACAAGCGGUGGAGCAUGUGGUUUAAUUCGAAGCAACGCGAAGAACCUUACCAAAUCAUGACAUCCUUUGACAACUCUAGAGAUAGAGCCUUCCCCUUCGGGGGACAAAGUGACAGGUGGUGCAUGGUUGUCGUCAGCUCGUGUCGUGAGAUGUUGGGUUAAGUCCCGCAACGAGCGCAACCCUUAAGCUUAGUUGCCAUCAUUAAGUUGGGCACUCUAAGUUGACUGCCGGUGACAAACCGGAGGAAGGUGGGGAUGACGUCAAAUCAUCAUGCCCCUUAUGAUUUGGGCUACACACGUGCUACAAUGGACAAUACAAAGGGCAGCGAAACCGCGAGGUCAAGCAAAUCCCAUAAAGUUGUUCUCAGUUCGGAUUGUAGUCUGCAACUCGACUACAUGAAGCUGGAAUCGCUAGUAAUCGUAGAUCAGCAUGCUACGGUGAAUACGUUCCCGGGUCU
rnacentral:rRNA from 1 species